CGAUGAAGUCGCGGAGCCGAAGCGAAAGCGAAUCUGAAAAGGGUGGUAAGUAUCAUGUCGUAGACCCGAAACCGAAUGACCUAACCAUGAGCAGGUUGAAGCAAUGGUAAAACGUUGUGGAGGACCGAACACACGCCUGUUGAAAUAGUCGGUGAUGACUUGUGGUUAGCGGAGAAAUUCCAAACGAAUUCGGAUAUAGCUGGUUCUCCUCGAAAUAGCUUUAGGGCUAGCCUCGCGAGACAGACUAUGAAGGUAAAGCACUGAAUGACCUAGGGGGCUUCACAGCCUACCGAAGUUUAUCAAACUAAGAAUGUUAUAGUUAAAGGCGCGGGAGUCAGACAGCGACAGCUAAGUGCCGUUGUCAAAAGGGAAACAGCCCAGAUCUACAGCUAAGGUCCCGAAGUACAGGUUAAGUGGAAAAGGAUGUGACGAUGCAAAGACAACCAGGAUGUUGGCUCAGAAGCAGCCACGCAUUAAAAGAGUGCGUAAUAGCUCACUGGUCGAGUGACGUUGCGCCGAAAAUUAACGGGGCUCAAACCUGACACCGAAGCUUAGGAAUACUUUAAGGAGUAUUGGUAGAGGAGCAAUGUAUACGAGAAGAAGGCGUACCGGAAGGAGCGCUGGAUUGUAUAGAAGAGAGAAUGCCGGCAUAAGUAGCGAGAGCGGAGCGAGAAACUCCGCCGUCGAAAGUCUGAGGUUUUCCGGGGAAGGUUCGUCCGCCCGGAGAAAGUCGGGACCUAAGCGGAGGCCGAAAGGCGUACGUGAUGGACAGCAGGUUGAUAUUCCUGCACUACCGAGAGAGAUAAUGAAGCAAUGACACGGAAAGAUAGAAGAAGCGCGCGGAUGGAAAAGCGCGUCCAAGCAAAGAGGGUGGCUGGUAGUAAAGAACGCCAGUCGGAAGCCUGAUUUGUGACGGGGAGUGGACCAAGGAAACGAAGUCUUUGAAUCUACGCCGGCGAGAAAAGUUGCUAAAUAUUUCGAGGUACCCGUACCGCAAACCGACACAGGUAGACGAGAAGAAAAUUCUAAGACGAACGGGAGAACCCUUGUUAAGGAACUCGGCAAAACGACCCCGUAACUUCGGGAGAAGGGGAGCCAUCGAGAGAUGGCCGCAGUGAAGAGGCCCAAGCGACUGUUUAUCAAAAACACAGGUUUCUGCUAAGGCGAAAGCCAAGGUAUAGGAGCUGACUCCUGCCCAGUGCCGGAAGGUCAAGGGGACUUGUUAGCAGCAAUGCGAAGCAACGAACUUAAGCCCCGGUGAACGGCGGCCGUAACUAUAACGGUCCUAAGGUAGCGAAAUUCCUUGUCGGGUAAGUUCCGACCCGCACGAAUGGAGUAACGAUUUGGGCGCUGUCUCAACAGGGGGCCCGGCGAAAUUGUAGUAUACGUGAAGAUGCGUAUUAACCCGCGACUGGACGGAAAGACCCCGUAGAGCUUUACUGUAGCUUGAUAUUGAAUCUCGGCAACUGAUGCACAGAAUAGGUGGGAGACAGAGAAGCAGCGUUUUCGGGCGCUGCGGAGUCAACUUUGGGAUACCACUCUUCGGUUGCUGCGAUUCUAACCGAAAACCGUGAAACCGGGUUCGGGACAUUGUCAGGCGGGCAGUUUGACUGGGGCGGUCGCCUCCUAAAGAGUAACGGAGGCGCUCAAAGGUUCCCUCAGAAUGGUUGGAAAUCAUUCGACGAGUGUAAAGGUAUAAGGGAGCUUGACUGUGAGACUGACAAGUCGAACAGGUGCGAAAGCAGGACUUAGUGAUCAGGUGGUAUGAGAAUGGAAUUGCCAUCGCUUAACGGAUAAAAGUUACCUCGGGGAUAACAGGCUUA
rnacentral:rRNA from 1 species